UCAGUGCUGUAUUCACUGGCUAGGUUCUCCAAGAGCUUGAGCAGUUUUCCUUUGAAAGAAUUGGGAAAAUAUCUCUUUUUAUAUUCUCUCUAGGUUUAUUUUAUACUCCUAUUUUAGGGGAUACCGUUUGCCACCCCCUCCCCCACCCCUGCCCCGCAUUAUGACCCUGUCAGUACCUACCCAAGGCAGCCAAUCCUCACCUCCACUCUAGAGGUCACUGUUGCUGGUUUUAUUCGCACGGUUUUAAUAUGGUCACAGAAAAUGUUCUUCCUCACGAACCCUGGCACUGCAGGACGGGAGCAGAGCUGAUGAGGAAAGAACAGCUCCAGCCCUCUCCCUACCCCUCCAAACUCUACAGGAAUUUUCCCUUCCUGAUAAUCCUUUUGUUUGUUUGUUUGUUUUUAAUCUCAAACCAUAAUAUAGUUUUCAUGGUUUUCUACAACAAUGGUAUAGAAAGAUAUGAAGAAAAAUGAAUAUCCCCACAGCUAGAUCAUUUUAUGAGCAAUUUACAAUUUAAAAUUUAAGAAAUCAAGAUUUCAAAUUUGUCAGGAGCUUGUUAAAAUUCACAACAGAAAAAAAUAAGUACUUGUCACCCAAAAUAAUUUAAUUAAAUAAUUAAAUAAUGAUUUAGGUAUCACUUAAAAUUUAUAAUUAAAAACUAAAA